GUCCAUACACCUCAAAGCUCAAACAUCGUCUGAUCAUUUAUUCAAUCAUAAUAUGAAUGUUAUCUUGCCUAACAGUUUAUUGAACAUAUUAGCAAAAGCUAGUACCAGUUUUCGUACAAAACUAUCAAUUGGUUGUAUCUUGGAUGAGACAGGCCAAAAGGGUUCUGCAUUUCCUGAUGCAGCCAUUCUGCAAGUCGUUUCCUCCUCCAAAUUUAUAAACUUCUAAUUCAAGCUUUAAAUUUCCCCAUAGAAUUAGUAAAGAAUCCAAGGAUACUUUCCCCAUAUAUAAUGAUAAUAACAGAUGCACAAGCUCGUUUCUGGUGCGAAACUUUUUCUAGUUGUUGCUGAGAUAUUAAACAACCAGAGAGAAAUUACUGAAAGUAGAGUAUAAACGUUAUAAUACAUAUAUGAUGCUUGUUUUGAUCUUGAACAUUAGGCAUUAGGCUUGCACUGCUAUGCCACAGAGGCCUGCAUUGCUAUGCCACAGAGGCCUUCCUUUGCUGAUAUAUUUGUCCGCAUUCGUAUGCAUCCUUCACCCCAUUGUGUGCCUUACGAGUUCUUCACCCCAUUGUGUGCCUUAUGAGUUCUUCACCAGCCAAUACUCCUUCCCAUCGCUGACUCCAUAACCUACCACAGCAACGCCAUGGUCUAGUUGAGUUCCACAAGACCCUGUGAAGAUACCGCUUGAGUGGAAUUGAAACUCAAAUCCCCCAGCAUCAAUGGCAACAGAAACUGCUUGUUUAGUAGCAGCCUUCAAUAAAGCAGCUUCAUUGUUUGUUGGUACAUCUUCAUAUCCGGUUAUCUUGGCCGAAGGUUUGGCUUCCUCCUUGGUGUUGCAAGUGCUGUCAGCUGCAUGGUAUUGCUAGGUGGCCUCACUGGCUAAGCCAUGUUUUUCAAUGAAUAUAAAGGCAUCAUCCAUCAGACCACCCUGACAGCCUUGAUCCUCACUGCUCCUGUCACAAUCAACAAGCUCUUGCUGUGAAAGGGAAAUUAAUUUUCCAGUUUUUAUCUCUGUGAUUCCUUCCACUGCUGCCACUGCUGAAAACGCCCAACAGGAACCUACAUUUUGACAAAAAGAACAGUUAGAACUGAUUCAAUUUACAUGAACUGUGAUCACUCCAAAAAAAUUUGUACUUAUCACAUUGGCCUUGAUCCUUGAUAGGUGUUACGGCUCCUUUCUUUCUCCAUUCCAUCCUACUCUGUAUAGCAGUGACAUUCUCAUACCUGAAAGGACCUGCGUGAGCAGAGCAAAAUGACCCUUGAAUCUAUUCCGUGCAGUUUUGAAUUCUUCGUUUGUAAGACCUGCAAACUGAUUCACACCAAGUUUGUAAGAACUACCUGCCUCGCUGUUAAAUGAAUCUAUUCUUUCUACAUUUUCCUUGAAUAUCUUGUAACGAAUCUCCUCAUUAGCAUCCUUGUAUACCCCUCCAGAACGAGCCAUCCACUGCUCAUGCCUCUCAUACAUUGAUGCAUGUUGGAAGGUUCGAGCCAUGGAAUGAGAAGUCCAAGCUCCUAAAACGAAGAAAAUGCAUAGAUACUGCUUCAUGAACUCCAUGGUGAGGUGAAAUUCUUAGGCCACAGUUAAAAAUGGUGCAAGAAGUAAGUAUGCAGCCAGGAGAUGCAAACUUCAACCACCCAAUGUGAAUUAUAUAGUGAACUAGUGAAUACUUUGCCCUUAAGAGUUGCGUAAGAUCUUAAAGUUUUCAAUGCAGGCCUAUCAAUUCUACGCGUCCUUGAAGAUGUUCUGACUUGGACCCCUUAUAAUUAGCUGAUCUGAGCAUUAGUUUUGCUUAGCCAAAAGUUAGUGUUACUGCUUGCAUAGGGUUUUUUCUGCAAAGGAUUUUAGUGGUGUCUUUUGGCACUCAGGCUCUCACAUCAGGACAAACAAAAUUGCUCCCAACGUGCCUUUUCAUUCAUUGCUGCCCAAAAGGAUCAUAUGGUUUUAGUCUCACAUAAAUGUAAAAUAUUUUAUUUAACAACAAUGUGCAAGAAAAAAAAGAAAAAACAGUCUAACAAGCCCUGAAAAAUAAAAUGCAAGCCUGUUCAUUGCACUCGAAUAGGCCAAACUCAACAAAUAAAGGAAUUGAUACAACACAACAACCAACUUGCAACCUACCCUUUUUAUCUUAAAAAGUUUAGCUUCGAAACCUAAAACUGUGAAGAGUGGAACUACAUUAGAUAGCUUAUUACAUGGAUCUGUUGACAAGUGGCAACACAACAUGCAAACGGUAGGUAUUACAUCAUCAAGGUUUCUGUCCCAGGAGUGACGGUCUAUAGAAAACAUGGCUUUGGGCUAUCUCAAUGCGAUCUUUUGGGUCAUUCAUUGUUUCAUCCCUUAAUACUUGAAGAAUGGCCCGUGCAGGAAACUCCCUCGUUAUAAGUAUUCUAUAUAGCAUCUUCAUUAUGGGGCAAAGCGCAACAGGAGCUACAGGCUUGUUUUCUUCAGGAUGCAGGACACUUAAGCAGGACUGACUUAGUAGUUCAUAAAAUGCUUUCACUGCAGAGACACCCUGCAAAGCGAAAGUUCAGCUCAAUAUCUUAGAUAGGAAAGAUAUAAGGUAAAACAGAAGAAAAUAGAAACCUAUAUUGUUAUUAAUGGUAGAUGGUCAGGCAACAAGAACUAUGGCCACAAUCAAACUUCAGGCAACCAGAACUAGAGCCACAAUCAAACGGAACCUCUUUAAGUUCAAUAGCAUUGGUCAUUUAUAUUCACCAUGUCUAUGAGCAACAAUAACCAAUACCUGAAUCAUUCCCUUUCCCUUAAUGCUAUCACCCAUUUCAAGGUUCAACUCCCCUUUGGCCAGCUUCUGACCAUACCAUGCAUUACGACCUUUCAACAAGGUUACAUAUGUGUCAGCCAACAGGGGACCAGCAAGUUUCUCAGGUUCUUCUGCCAGCAAAUGUGUGAUAAAUAUCAUCUCUGAUGUGCAGUGUGCAAAGUAUACUGAUUUACUAGUUGCACUCUCAUUUGUAAGAGCUGCCACCAUUCCAGCUCCAAUAGCAUAAACAUUUUUUAAACCACCCAUAACUUCAUGAGUAACAAGGUCACCAUUAUCCCACACUAUAAAAUGAGGCUGCCUCAAAAACUUUGCCAAAGGUUUCCUCCAUUUUUCUGCUCCACAUAUUCGGGCAUUAGCAUAUUCCUUGUUGUAAAUCUCUGAGGCAAUGUUAGGUCCUCCAAGAUAGAGGAUGUUUUCCACUGGAACUCCAGUUGCUCGAUUGAUCAUUUGAGUUGGAGUUAUUAUGCGAGGCUCAGGCUCCAACUCAGCCUCUACGCCUUUUGCCAAAGAUAUAAUAACUGGUACCGUAAUCCUCUCCUUCCAAUAUCUACUAAUUUCCUCAAACACCUCGCGGGUUUCAGUUGAUGGCAACCCAUUAAUGACAACAUCAGCAUCCCACACAGCCUCCUGCAAAUUGGUUACAACCUUCAAAGGACAGAGAGGGGUAUCUAUCAUAUUUAAGCAAAAGCCAUCUUUCAAUAUCUCAUCGGCAUGUAAAGUCCUAUCACCUAAUCUUGCCUCGACAUACUUCAAAUAUGCACAACGCCUAAUUAAUCUCCUUAAUACAUCUUCCCUGGAAUUGAUCACUUCAAACAGAUGCUCAGCUGUGGCCCUAUCAACUGAUCUGCUAGGCCUUCUCCAUAUCCUUAUUAGAACCUUAUCUCUUAGAUGGCCAUAACUAUCUUGCAAUAAAGCAGUAAAUACGCUUCCCCAAGCACCUGCCCCAAUGCCAACAAUCCUCAACGGAUCACCUUCUGCUUUGCCUAUGAGAUGUCGAAGCUCAUCCAGCUUAUGUUCUAAAGCACCAUUUGAGGUGUGAGUCUGAAUUGACCCAUCCGAGUACACAUUAUGAGUCGCUGGUUCAGUAUUUUCAAUCAUUCUCUCCUCCCAAUUACAACCGUCAAGUGUUGUAUGAUAAAUCGCUAUAAAAUAUAAUGAAAAGCAGAAACAAUACCAAAGCACAAAAAGCUUUCCUGGCGAUAUACCCUAAGCUCCACACGCAAUAUUCAACAUGAUAAACUCGAAACCACUGAUUUUGAAACAGCGAAAUUUCAAUUUAUAUAUAUUCAUGCUUUACCCCUGGAGCAAGGGUAAGAGCUUAGAUCAGCAAAUCACCUAUCAAACAUCACAACAGACCAUUGAACCAGAAGUCUGAAACUCUAGAAAAAUGGAUCCUUAAAGAAUUUUACUACACGGGUUUUUCAUUGUACUUUAUCCAAUCAGCAUACAUCGACAACCAAAGUAUGAAAUUACCAAGAAAUGCAAGAACUCAACUUUGAAAGAGAAGUCUACAGCGUUGGUCCUGUAACCCCCACCAAAACCAGUCAACAAAAAGAAAGGUGACACGGAGAAGGGAAAGCGAAACAAACUCUACAGUCUGUCGGCUUUCUCAACGCGGUGACGCCGACUUUGGAUUUUUGUUUGCUUCUGUUUAUGUCACUGAAAGCGAGGAAAUUCACGCAAUGCUCAUGAAAAACAAAAUAGGCGCUUGCAAUGGAAUACAGAGAAGGAAUCGUGUUAUGGUGUGUAUGGGUGUUUGGUUUUCUUGCGGGAAGUAACCAAGAAGAAGAUGAUAACAGCGUUUGCAUCAAAGAGCAAAGAAGCUUGGUGUCUCGGAGCCACCGCUGAUGCUGAUGUGCCAUUACUAUGGGCGUUGCUUCAUCUGAUCUUGCCACGUGGCAAAACCAUUAACGUCAGAAACAGCGAUCCCAGUCCUUGCAAAAAACACGACAUGUCGUAUUGUAACUGGAAAUGGCAUAGUUUGGGAAUCACAUUCAGGCUUUACCAUUCACAACUACGUACAUUUGCCUCGCUUAGGUUCACUUCCGUGGGACUUUCCGGGCAUUGCGAGAACGAUUGAAUUGGGUGCAGCUUCCUGCGCUUCUGUAAUGGGUUGUGGCUUAGAUUUCCUCUUCCCACAAAGAGACGAUGGGUUGUGGGUAACAGUUUCAUUUAUGUCUGAUCCUAGAGGUUUAUUUUUAUGGGCUUUACGAUGUGUGUACACGCAUUCUUCCAAAUAUGAUUGGUGCAACCUAUAAUAUCUAUAGCAGGACUCUUACCGUCAACAAUGCAAAGAAACGGACCGAUAUACUAUUGUUUAAAGGUGAAUUUUAUUAUAUUUGGGAGUGUUCUCAACCAUUGUACUUCUAUUUGUCCUAAAGCAUAGUGGGGAUCAACCAUGAGCUCUCAAUUAGUGCUGGUGGGAUAUCCACAGAACGGGUUUUCAGAUUCUCAAGCAACAUCAUUCUUUUUUUUUUCAUGAAUAUGCAGCAUUCUAUGAUUGAUAGUUGUUUGCUAAUUGUGCUGUGUCUCUUUUUGUGAAUGUUGCUAACAGAAACUAGAAGUGGAUCAUCAGUUAUGUUUCCUUAAAAAGUCACAUGUAAUCAUGACAUCUUUUAAGUAGGUAGUUGCCAGGCACCAUUUCUGGAAGCAAAAUCUCUUUUUGU
rnacentral:misc_RNA from 1 species